GUAGGGUUAGGGUUAGGGUUUCGGUUAGGGUUAUGCUUAGGUUUAGGGUUAGGUUUAGGGUUAGGGUUAGGGUUAGGGUUAGAGUUAGGGUAAGGGUUAGGGUAGGGUUAGGGUUAGCUUAGUGAUAGGGUUAGGCUUAGGGUUAGGGUUAGGGUUAGGGUUAGCUUUAGGGUAGUGUUAGGGUUAGUGUUAUGGUUAGGGUUAGGGUUAUGGUUCCUGUAGAGUAGGAUUGAGGUUAGAGUAUGGGUUUGGGUGGGGUUACAUUUAUGGAUAAGGUUAGGGUUACAUUUAAAAUUAUAUUUAGCAUUUGGGUUGGGGUUAGUGUUAGGGUUAAGGUUAGGGUUAGCUUAAGGUUACGGUUACGGUUAGGGUUAUGUUCGGGUAAGAUUUCGAGUAGGGUUAGGCUUAGUGUAAGGAUUAUGGUUAAGGAUAGGGUUUGGUUUAGGGUUAGGGUUACGGUAGUGUUAGGGUUAGGAUUUGGGUUAGGGUUAGUGUUAAGGUUAGGGAUAGGUUUAGGCAUAGGGUUAGCUUAAAGUUAGGGUUAGUGUUUCGGUUUGGGCAGGGAUAGAGUAAGGGUUAGGGUUGGGGGUAGGAUUAGGGUUAGGGUUAGGGUUAGGGUAGGAUUAGGGUUAGGGCUAGGGUUAGGGUUAGGGUUAGGGUUAGGGUAGGAUUAGGGUUAGGGUUAUGGUCAGGGUAAGGGUAGGGUUAGGGUUAGGGUUAGGGUUAGGUUCAGGGUUAGGGUUAGGGAAGGGUUAGAGUUAGGGUUAGGGUUAGGGUUAGGAUUAGGGUUAGGGUUAGGGUUAGGCUUAGGGUUAGGGUUAGGGUUAGUUUUAGGGUUAGGGUUAGGGUUAGGGUUAGGUUUAGUUUCCGGAAAGAGUUCGCGUAGGGUUAGGCUCAGUGUUAGGAUUAUGGUUAGGGCUAGGGUUUGAGUUUGAUUGGGUUUAGUGUUAGGGUCAGGGUUAGGAUUCUGUUUAAGGUUUGGGUUAGGGUUAGGGUUAGGCAUAGGGUUAGGUUUAGGUUUAGUGUAGGGUUAGUGUUAGGGUUAGAUUAAGGUUAGGGUUAGAGUUAGGGUUAGGGUUGGGGUUAUGGUUAGGGUUCGUUUAGGGUAAGGGUUAGGUUUAGGGUUAGGGUUAGGCUUAGGGUUAGGGUUAGGGUUAGGGUUCGGGUAAGGGUUAGGGUUAGGGUUAGGGUAGGGUUAGGGUUAGGGUUAGGGUUAGGCAUAGGGUUAGGGUUAGGGUUAGGGUUAGGGUAGGGUUAGGGUUAGGGUUAGGGUUAGGGUUAGGGUUAGGCAUAGGGUUAGGGUUAGGGUUAGGGUUAGGGUAGGGUUAGGGUUAGGGUUAGGGUUAGAUUAGGGUUAGGGUUAGGGUUAGGGUUGAGGUUAGCGUUAGGGUUAUGGUUAGGGUCAGGGUUCGGGUUAGGGUUGGGGUUAGGGUUAGGGUUAGGGUUCGGGUAGGGUUUGGGUUAGGGUUAGGGUUAGGGUUUGGGUUAGGGUUAGCUUAGGGUUAGGGUUAGGGUUAGGGUUAGGGUUAGGGUUAGGGUGAGGUUUAGGGUUAGGUUUAGGGUUAGGGUUAGGGUUAGGGUUAGGGUAGGGUUAGGGUUUGGCUUAGGUUUAGGCUUAGGGUUAGGGUUAUUGUAAGGCUUAUGUUUACGAUUAGGGUUAAGGUUAGGCUUUGGUUUAGGUUUUGUGUUAGGGAUUAGGUAGGUGUAGGGGUUGGGUUAGGUUUAGGGUUCGGUUUAGCAUUUGAAUUAGGGUUAGGGUUAGGUUUAGUGCUUAGGAUUAUGGUUAGGGUUGCGGUUUGAGUUUGGAUUAGGGUUAGGUUUAGCGUAAGGGAUAGGGUUAGGGAUAGGGUUAGUGUUUUGGUCAGGGUUAGGUUCAGCGUUUCGGUCACUGUUAGGGUUAAUGUUAGGGCUUGAGUUAGGGCUUCUGUUAGUGGAUAGGGUUAGUGUUAGGGUUAGGUUUAGGGUUAGGGUUUGGGUUAGGGUUUGGGAUAGUGUUAGUGUUCGGGUUGUGGUUCGUUUAGGGUAGUAUUGGGGUUAGAGUUUGGUUUUGGGUUAGGGUUAGGGUUAUUGUUAGGGUUAGGGUUACGGUCAGGGCUAUAGUUAAGGUUAGGAUUAGGGUUAUGGUAUGGGUUAGGGCUGUAGAAUGGGUUAGGGUUAGGGCUAGUGUUAGGUUUAGGGUUAGGAUUAGAUUUAUGUUUAGGCAUAGGCUUCAGGCUAGGUUUAGGCUUAGGGUCCAUGUUGUGGUUAAGGUUCGUGUUAGGAAUAGUAUAGGAGUUAUGUUUUGUAUUAGGGUUAGGGUUAGGGUAAGGGUUAGGGCAGGGUUUAGGGUUUGGUUUAGGUUUUGUGUUUGGGAUCUGGUAGGGGUAGGGGUAGGUUUAGGGUUACGUUUAGCGUUUGGGUUAGGGUUAGGGUUUGUUUUCGGUUUUAAUUUAGGUGUAGGGUUAUGGUUUGACUUAGGCUUGGGUUUCAGAUUAAGUUUAGGGUAAGUGCUGGGGUUAGGCCUAGGGUUACGGUUAGUUAUAGGGUUAGGUUUAGGGUUAGGGUUAGUGUUAGGGGUAUAUUGUUUGGUUUCGGUUAUUGUUAGGUUCAGGGUUUGGUUAGGUUUUGGGUUACGGUAAGGGUUAAGGUUACUUCUAGGUAUAGGUCUAGGGUUAUAUUUACCAUUUGGGUUAGGUUUGUCUUAAAGUUAGGGUUAGGGUUAGCAAAGGGUUAGGUUUAGGGAUUGUCAUAGGUUUAUUGUUAGGGUGAGGUUCAUUGUGCGGUUUAGGGUUAGGGUUAGGGUUUGGGUAAAGUUUAGGGUUAGGGUUCGGUUAGGGUAGGGUUCUGGUUAGGGUGAGGGUUAGGGUUUGGGAUAGAAAUAGGGAUAGGUUUUCGGUUUCAUUAGGGUUAAGAUUAAGGUUAGGCUUAGGUUUAGGGUUCGAUAUAGGUUUAAGGUUAUCGUUAUGGCUUGGGUUAGGUUUACGGUUUGGGUUAAUUUUAGAUUUAGUGUUAUGGCUCGGGUUAAUUUAGGGUUAGGUUUAGGUUUUCUUUUAGGGUUAGGGGUACGGUCAGGGUUUGGAUUAGGGCUAAAGUAAGGGUUAGGUUUAUGGUAACGGUUAAGUUAUGGUUAGGGUUAGUGUUAGGGUUAAAUUAGGGUUAGGGUUAGAUUUUGUGUUAGGGUUAGGUUUACGGUUUGAGUUAAGAUUAGGGUUAAACAAAGGGUUAGGUUUAGGGUAACGGUUAAGUUUAGGUUAGUGUUAGGUUUUUUGGUAGUUUUAGGGUUACGAUUAGGCUUCAGCUUAGGUUUAGGGUAAUGUUUAAGGUUAGUCUUAGUUUUAGUGUUAGGGUUAGAAUUAGGGUUACAUAUAAUGUUAAGAUUAGGUUUAAGUUAAGGGUUAGGUUUAGUUUUAGGGUUAGAGUUAGAGUUAAGUUAGGGUUAGGGUUAGGUUUGGGUUUUGGGUUUGGUUUUGGGUUAGGGUUCGGAUUAGGGUUUGGGUUAGGGUUAACUGUAGGAUUAGGUUUAGGGUUUGUUUUAUAUUUAAUGUGUCGGUUAGGUUAAGGGUUAAGUUAGUGUUUGGUUUGGGGUUAGGUUUAGAUUUAGGUUUUGUGUUGAGUUAGGGUUAGGGUUAGAGUUAGGGUUAGUGUUUGCGUUAGGAUUAAGGUUAGGGUUUUGUUUAGGGUUAGGGUUAAGAUCAGGUUUUGGGUUAGUUUUAGGAUUAAGUUUAGGUUUAGGGUUUGGGUUAUGUUUGGGGUUAGUGUUAUGGUUAGGACUAUGGUUAUUGCAAGGGUUAAGAUAGGGUUUGUUUUAAGGUUUUUGUUUCGGUUAUUGUUGAGUUAUGCUUAGGGUUAGGGUUAGUGUUAUGUUAGGGAUUAGGGUUAUGGGCCUAUUUUGGGUUAUGUAGAACAGAAUAAAAUUGAUCUAGGAGGUCUAGUCCAACUAGAUUAUAGAAAAUGGGGAAAUUGUAGAGUGUGAACUGGAGCCUGCAGUUACAGUGAGGAGGGCCUUUCAGCUAGAAACGGGAAAGUAGCUUCACAAAGUAGAAAUAAGAGGAAAUAGAGUUUGUUUCGGGAGAGGGUGUUAGGAAAAAAAAAGAUUCCAAGCACUUUCAGACACUAGGUGUGGAAUAACAAGGAGAAUGAAGUCCAUAAAGACAACGUCUGGAGAGCAGCUGGAAAACAUUUGGCAGAGAGGUGAUUAGAUGCCUACAGGGCAAGCUGAAACAGAUUCAGGAGAUGCCCCCACUUUGGGUUCAGAAGUUUGCAGCGAGGAAGACUAUGAGCCUUUGCGAGGAAGAGGCGAGGCGGUGUGAGGCCAGGUGAGCCGAGGCCAGGCAAGACAAGGCCAGGAAAUGCCAGGCCAUGUAAUGCAAGGCAAAGCAAAGAAAGGCAAGGUGAGGAAAGGCCAGGCCAGGCCAGACUGGGCAAGGCAAGGCAAGGCCAGGCAGGAGGAGGCAAGGCAAGGCCAGGCAAGAGAAGGUAAGGUCAGGCCACGAAGUGCCAGGCUAGGCCAGGCCAGGCCAGGUGAGGCCAGGCCAGGCCAG
ensembl:lncRNA